CUGAAUUCCAUCCUUCUUGCAAGCCUACAUGUUCAGCUUCUUCCUUACAACUUUGAGUUCCCAGAAGAUUUCAGAGGAAGUGACAUGAUCCUAAAUCAUGUUCUUGAUGGCAAAAUGUUACUUAGAAAGCCUAUUAUUUAAAUGGAAUAGUUUUUUAUGGUCAAAUAUGAGCAACAAUAAUCCUUUACCUGCAAACUUUAUUGAUGUCAGGUAUUUUGGAUGAAUAUACAUUUUUAGGAACCAAGAUUACUUUUCUUUAGAUUUGUUAUUUAAAACACAUUUAGAAAUAACUCUCGUUAUAUUUCAAACUGGCACAAAGAUUCUAUACAUACUAUCUCUUUUCUCUGGAGAUUUUCUUAAAUUUAAAGAGAUACAAAAAGGAAAUAUAGCUGCAAAAGAACAGAGGUGUUUGGGAUUGCCAAUAGAUGAAAGCUUUAA
rnacentral:lncRNA from 1 species